AGCAGCCGCGGUAAUUCCAGCUCCAAUAGCGUAUAUUAAAGUUGUUGCAGUUAAAAGCUCGUAGUUGAAUUUCGGGAUCAAAUUGUCGGUCGUGCCUCGGUACGCACUGGUAUUAUUGGUUCCUACCUUCUGAAGAACCGCGAUGUCAUUAAUUUGGCGUCGUGGGGAAUCAGGACUGUUACUUUGAAAAAAUUAGAGUGUUUAAAGCAGGCUUACGCUUGAAUACAUUAGCAUGGAAUAAUGAAAUAGGACGUUUGAUUCUAUUUUGUUGGUUUCUAGGAUUGACGUAAUGAUUAAUAGGGAUAGUUGGGGGCAUUAGUAUUCAAUUGUCAGAGGUGAAAUUCUUGGAUUUAUUGAAGACUAACUACUGCGAAAGCAUUUGCCAAGGAUGUUUUCAUUAAUCAAAGAACGAAAGUUAGGGGAUCGAAGACGAUCAGAUACCGUCGUAGUCUUAACCAUAAACUAUGCCGACUAGGGAUCGGAUGAUGUUAAUUUUUUAAUGACUCAUUCGGCGCCUUAC
rnacentral:rRNA from 1 species